rnacentral:rRNA from 1 species
CCUACGGGGUGCAGCAGUGAGGAAUAUUGGUCAAUGGACGAGAGUCUGAACCAGCCAAGUAGCGUGAAGGAUGACUGCCCUAUGGGUUGUAAACUUCUUUUAUAUGGGAAUAAAACGUUCCACGUGUGGGAUUUUGUAUGUACCAUAUGAAUAAGGAUCGGCUAACUCCGUGCCAGCAGCCGCGGUAAUACGGAGGAUCCGAGCGUUAUCCGGAUUUAUUGGGUUUAAAGGGAGCGUAGGUGGAUUGUUAAGUCAGUUGUGAAAGUUUGCGGCUCAACCGUAAAAUUGCAGUUGAAACUGGCAGUCUUGAGUACAGUAGAGGUAGGCGGAAUUCGUGGUGUAGCGGUGAAAUGCUUAGAUAUCACGAAGAACUCCGAUUGCGAAGGCAGUUCACUGGACUGCAACUGACACUGAGGCUCGAAAGUGUGGGUAUCAAACAGGAUUAGAUACCCUAGUAGUC